rnacentral:lncRNA from 1 species
GGUGUGUUCACUAAGGUAGCAAUGCAUCCAAAAACAUUGCUCAAACACUACAAGGGAUUCUGCCUCAGCACAGAAGACUUGCCAACAACUCAACGCAUUAACAACACAGAAAUAGUAAGUACAACCAGUUUUGCUGGCGUAGAAGUAAACAGAUUCAUAAG